rnacentral:rRNA from 1 species
AUAAGAUUUUAAUUGAAUGCUAAGAGAAUGGAAUUUCAGAAAAAAACUUUUUUCAAGUUAAAAAUUGAAAUUUUUUUAAUUUGUGCAGAAACAAUUAUUAAUAUUAAGGACAAGAAGACCCUAUGAAUUUAUAAAUUUUAUUUAAUAUGUAACUACUAUUGAAAAAAUUUUAGCUGGGGCGGCGGAAAAAUAUUUAAAACUUUUUUAAAAUAAAAUGACCCAUUAUUAAUGAUUAUAUGUUAAAUACUCUAGGGAUAACAGCGUUAUAUUUUUUGAUAGAUCAUAUUGACAAAAAAGUUUGCGACCUCGAUGUUGGAUUAGGAUACUUUUUUAAUGCAGAUAUUAAAAAAAGAAGUU